UGAGGAAUAUUGGUCAAUGGACGAGAGUCUGAACCAGCCAAGUAGCGUGCAGGAGGACGGCCCUAUGGGUUGUAAACUGCUUUAGUAUGGGAAUAAAGUCAUCCACGCGUGGAUGUUUGCAUGUACCAUAAGAAUAAGGACCGGCUAAUUCCGUGCCAGCAGCCGCGGUAAUACGGAAGGUCCGGGCGUUAUCCGGAUUUAUUGGGUUUAAAGGGAGCGUAGGCGGAUUUUUAAGUCAGUUGUGAAAGUUCACGGCCCAACCGUGAAAUUGCAGUUGAAACUGAAAGUCUUGAGUGCACGCAGGGAUGCUGGAAUUCGUGGUGUAGCGGUGAAAUGCUUAGAUAUCACGAAGAACUCCGAUCGCGAAGGCAUGUGUCCGGAGUGCAACUGACGCUGAGGCUCGAAAGUGUGGGUAUCAAACA
rnacentral:rRNA from 1 species